rnacentral:rRNA from 1 species
AUUGAACGCUGGCGGCAGGCCUAACACAUGCAAGUCGAGCGGCAGCGGGAAAGUAGCUUGCUACUUUUGCCGGCGAGCGGCGGACGGGUGAGUAAUGCCUGGGAAAUUGCCCAGUCGAGGGGGAUAACAGUUGGAAACGACUGCUAAUACCGCAUACGCCCUACGGGGGAAAGCAGGGGGCCUUCGGGCCUUGCGCGAUUGGAUAUGCCUAGGUGGGAUUAGCUAGUUGGUGAGGUAAUGGCUCACCAAGGCGACGAUCCCUAGCUGGUCUGAGAGGAUGAUCAGGCACACUGGAACUGAGACACGGUCCAGACUCCUACGGGAGGCAGCAGUGGGGAAUAUUGCACAAUGGGGGAAACCCUGAUGCAGCCAUGCCGCGUGUGUGAAGAAGGCCUUCGGGUUGUAAAGCACUUUCAGCGAGGAGGAAAGGUUGAUGCCUAAUACGUAUCAACUGUGACGUUACUCGCAGAAGAAGCACCGGCUAACUCCGUGCCAGCAGCCGCGGUAACAC